rnacentral:rRNA from 1 species
AGCAGCCGCGGUAAUUCCAGCUCCAAUAGCGUAUAUUAAAGUUGUUGCAGUUAAAAAAGCUCGUAGUUGAACUUCAGGCCUGUCCAGACGGUCCGCCUUAAUUGGUGUGUACUGUCCUUGGGUGGGUCCUACCUUCUGGCGAAGCGGCAUGGCCUUAAUUGGUUGUGUCGGGGAACCAGGACUUUUACUGUGAAAAAAUUAGAGUGUUCAAAGCAGGCAAAUAUGCUCGAAUACAUUAGCAUGGAAUAAUGGAAUAGGACGAUGGUUCUAUUUUGUUGGUUCUAGGACCGUUGUAAUGAUUAAUAGGGAUAGUUGGGGGCAUUAGUAUUCAAUUGUCAGAGGUGAAAUUCUUGGAUUUAUUGAAGACUAACUACUGCGAAAGCAUUUGCCAAGGAUGUUUUCAUUAAUCAAGAACGAAAGUUAGGGGAGUCGAAGACGAUCAGAUACCGUCGUAGUCUUAACCAUAAACUAUGCCGACUAGGAAUACGGGCGAUGUUGACUAAAAUGACUACGCUCGGCA